rnacentral:rRNA from 1 species
UCCGAACCGUGCAAACGUUGUUCGGAAUCACUGGGCUUAAAGGGCGCGUAGGCGGCUUAUCAAGUCGGGGGUGAAAUACUUCAGCUUAACUGGAGAAGUGCCUUCGAUACUGGUGGGCUUGAGGGAGGUAGGGGUCUGUGGAACUUCUGGUGGAGCGGUGAAAUGCGUUGAUAUCAGAAGGAACGCCGGUGGCGAAAGCGACGGACUGGACCUCUUCUGACGCUGAGGCGCGAAAGCUAGGGGAGCAAACGGG